AGGCCUACUUGCUUUAGCAAUGCUGAAAUUUGUCAUGAACAUCUUAUGAAUAUGUAAUACGUAGUAUGCAUAGUUAUAUGUGUUUCUGCUUGAGGUAUUUUGUAUGUAGUUCAAAUCUAACAUUGCAUCAAGUUGUUUAAUUCCAUUUCAAAAAGCCCACCAUUGUAUUUGUGUAUCGGGUUUAUAUGGCAAGGUUUUGGUAAUGCGGAGCUGCAAGGGUGGCCUGUGAGCAGAGCUCAGCAGCUGCCCCAUGGCAGAUCAGAGCCAGCUCCAGCCAGCUCCAAAACUGCUGGCCAGAGCUGAGCCCAUCAGCAACAAUGGUUGAGCCUCUGGGAGAGCAGAUUUAAGAAAGGGAAAAAAAAAAAAAAAAAAAAAAAAAAGCUGCACAACAGCAACUGGGAGAGAGGAGUGAAAACCAGCCCUGCAGCUCCCAAGGUCAGUGUAACAGGAGGGCAGGAGGUGCUCCAGACACGCAGCAGCAGUUCCCCUGCAGCCUGUGGAGAGGCCCCUGGUGGAGCAGGCUGUCCCCCUGCAGCCCAUGGGUCCCACACGGAGCAGAUCUCCACGCUGCAGCCCAUGGAGGAGACCCUGGUGGAGCAGGUGGAUGUGGCCUGGAGGAGGCUGCGGCCCAUGGAGAGCCCCCGCAGGAGCUUUCCUGAGAAGGGGCCAUCAUUCUGCUGACUAUGCUCCAUCAGAGUGCUCUGUCUUUCAGGUGGGUCUCAAUCGUCUCCUAAAAUGAUUGCAGCUCAUGCAGGCUAAAGUGAGUGUCAGUCUCUUAUUUAGCGAGGCCAUUUUUGUCAAGAUAUUUUUCUGAAGUCUUUUAUUAUCUGCUAGUUCAUUAUCUGGCUAUUCCAGGUGAAGAGCUCUGAGCACUCUGAGCGGCACUGUGAGCGUGCAAGUAACACCUGUGGUGCUGAUGCUGAGAGAGGCUGGCUGCACGGGAGCCUGAGGCAGGACAGCAGUGGCUGGGUGGGAGCCAGAGCCCCAGUUUGGUGAGUGCUGGGAGGAAAGAAACUCUCCCUCACCAGCUGCAGGAGAACUGGCAGAGGCCAGGAGAUCAGGCCUCAACAAGUCUGAUUUGCAUGUGUUUCUCAUCAUAGCUGUGGGGCACUCCUGCUAAAAACAAUUGAACUAUCAAGGUGAGGCAAAACCAGCAGUCAAAAUUAUGUUGUGAAAAGCAGGGGCAAACCGACUGUGCUCUGUGUGCCCUGGGGCAGGGGGAGCUUGUAUGGAAAGAUGCUCAAAGUUUUAUGAUGAAGACAGUUUGAGAAAUGAGAUUUCUGGACGUUCCCUGGGCAGUUUGGAAAAGAAGAGAUCUUUCAUUAAAGAGAGUUAUUCUGCUCAGGAAGUCUUCCUCAAGCAGGGAUUCUGUGUGUUGUACUUUCUGAAGGAAACUAAAAUGCUCUAACAGGUGAGCUGCAGCACUGAACUGCAGCCCGUGAACAGAGCAAGGCAUGUGGAAAUAACAGGGGUGGUUAACGGGCACAGUGGCAGCAGGAACUUGAGUAUGUAGAUCUAGGAAUUUUUGUGGAGCCCUGGAAUUUAAUUUCCUCUUUUCAUGUCUUCAAGCUGUAACGGGAGACCAGUGGAGAAGAAAGGCAGUGAGCAAAUGCAAAGACAUCCUGCAGAAAAAAAAGAGAAGGAUUACUUCCAGUGGCUUGUGGAGAGUGGUAUCACUGCUGUUUUGAGGAUUUUGGGGGGACCAAAAUCAGAUUCACAGAAUUGGAGGAAUUAGAGGA
rnacentral:lncRNA from 1 species